CGCGGCCGAAACGCUCCCCGAGCGGGGUGCAGCGAGAGCCGGAACGGCCACGAGGGGAGCCGAGCGAAGGAGGUCGGUCCCCUGGAGGGGCCUGUGGCGGUGCCAUGGGGCUGUCAGGCUUGGCCACAGAAAGGGCUUUGCAGCGGGGCGGCUGUGGCGGCUGGCAGCGGUGCGUGCGGGUCUGAUUGAAGGGCUGCGCGGGGUGAGACCUGUGCAGCCGCACAGCUCUGCAGAACCGAAGGAAGCGCCAUGGACAGAGAAAGUUGAGAGAGGAGGUCUCCAGCUGUGCAUAGCUGAAAUGGAUGCUUUGAGGGCUGAAUACUCCCAGCCUGCGCACAACAGCCCCCCCCGCCCCCGAGCUCUGAUAGAGGAUUCCUGAAGCUGCCUUAGUUUGCUUGCCUGGGAAGACAGAAGUUUUAGUCCUGGAGCACCUGUUUGAGGAGGCUCACAGUGGCGGGGCCAUUCGGCAGAUGAGAUCACCAGGGAACUUCUUUUGCUGUGACAUUGUAAUGGGAGGUGGAGACACCUCGAGGAGAAGGUCGAAACAGACAACAGCAAUUACAGUCAGUAGCACCUGUGACUGGAGAAAAUCUUGCCUCAAUUGCAGGUCUGUGUGUGAUCUGUGCGCGUCAGCUUUCCGAUGUACGGGGCUUCAAAUAAGGCAGGAGGUGAAAAUAACUGUUCUGUUUGUGGAGCUCUAAGGACAGCUUCCUAUUAUUAUUGUCUUUUCACUGUCUCAGAGUAGGGCAGGGUGAGGAGUUUAAGGGGAAGGCAGCUAAGGUUGGAGUAACUGUAGUUGGAGCUCUUCCUCACUGCUGGGAGAAGCAUCAUAAGCACUUGUCUUGGUUGUAGCUGUGACAAGCAGCUAGAAGUCAGAACAGUCCUAGGACUGCCAGAACUUGCACUAAAGAGAAAAAUAAACUAGGUUUAGACUUUA